rnacentral:rRNA from 1 species
AGGCAGCAGGCACGCAAAUUACCCACUCCCGGCACGGGGAGGUAGUGACAAAAAAUAACGAUACGGGACUCAAUUGAGGCCCCGUAAUCGGAAUGAGUACACUUUAAAUCCUUUAACAAGGAUCCAUUGGAGGGCAAGUACGGUGCCAGCAGCCGCGGUAAUUCCGUCUCCAAUAGCGUAUAUUAAAGUUGUUGCGGUUAAAAAGCUCGUAGUUGGUUCUGCGUGCCACGCUGUCGGUUCGCCGCCUGCCGGUGCUACUGGCAUGCCGUGGCAUGUCCUGUCGGUGGGUGCCCGGGGCCCCGUGCGGACGACAGGAGGCCGGGGCUUGCCCCGCGUUCCUUCCUGCACGUCGGCGGGUCAACUCCGGCUCCCUACUAUCCUACCUAGGUGCUCUUCACCGAGUGUCGAGGUAGGCCGACACGUUUACUUUGAACAAAUCAGAGUGCUUAAAGCAGGCUGAAAAAUUCUGCCUGAAUGAUGGCGCAUGGAAUAAUAAAACAGGACCUUGGUUCUAUUUUGUUGGUUCUUAAGAACACAAGGUAAUGAUCAAUACGGACAGGCGGGGGCAUUCGUAUUGCGGGGUUAGAGGUGAAAUUCUUGGAUCCUCGCAAGACGACCGAGAGCGAAAGCAUUUGCCAAGUAUGUCUCGAUUGAUCAAGAACGAAAGUUAGAGGUUCGAAGGCGAUCAGAUACCGCCCUAGUUCUAACCAUAAACGAUGCCAGCCAGCGAUCCGCCGAUGUUCCUCCGAUGACUCGGCGGGGAGCUUCCCCCCGGGAAACCAAAGCUUUUGGGUUCCGGGGGAAGUAUGGUUGCAAAGCUGAAACUUAAAGGAAUUGACGGAAGGGCACCACCAGGAGUGGAGCCUGCGGCUUAAUUUGACUCAACACGGGAAACCUCACCAGGUCAGGACAUUGUCAGGAUUGACAGAUUGAUAGCUCUUUCUUGAUUCAGUGGGUAGUGGUGCAUGGCCGUUCUUAGUUGGUGGAUCGAUUUGUCUGGUUAAUUCCGAUAACGAACGAGACUCUGGCCUAUUAACUAGACGGUCUCGAGAGCCCACGUCUCUCGCGAAGUUCAAUCUUCUUAAGGGGACAAGCGGCUUAUAGUCGCACGAGAUUGAGCAAUAACAGGUCUGUGAUGCCCUUAGAUGUCCUGGGCCGCACGCGCGCUACAAUGAAAGAAUCAGCGUGUGUCUCCCAGCCCGAGAGGGCCGGGUAAUCCGCUGAACCUCUUUCGUGCUUGGGAUUGUAGCUUGCAAUUGUUCUUCAUGAACGAGGAAUUCCCAGUAAGCGCGAGUCAUAAGCUCGCGUUGAUUACGUCCCUGCCCUUUGUACACACCGCCCGUCGCUACUACCGAUUGAAUGAUUUAGUGAGGUCUUCGGACCGGCGGGAAAUCCCUAUCGCUCCCGCGGUAUCGACGAACGCUGGGAAGAUGACCAAACUUGAUCAUUUAGAGGAAGUAAAAGUCGUAACAAGGUUUCCGUAGGUGAACCUGCGGAAGGGAUCA